rnacentral:rRNA from 1 species
UGCGCAGACGGUUGCGUAAGUCAGAUGUGAAAGCCCCGGGCUCAACCUGGGAAUUGCAUUUGAGACUGCGUAGCUAGGGUGCGGAAGAGGGAAGCGGAAUUUCCGGUGUAGCGGUGAAAUGCGUAGAUAUCGGAAGGAACACCAGUGGCGAAAGCGGCUUCCUGGUCCAGCACCGACGUUCAGGCACGAAAGCGUGGGGAGCAAACAGGAUUAGAUACCCUGGUAGUCCACGCCAUAAACGAUGAGAACUAGACGUUGAAGGGGUAAGCCCUCCAGUGUCGUAGCUAACGCGCUAAGUUCUCCGCCUGGGGAGUACGGCCGCAAGGUUGAA